UACGAGGGGUGCAAACGUUAUUCGGAAUGAUUGGGCGUAAAGGGUGCGUAGGCGGCAUGCUAAGUCAACUGUUAAAUUUCCCGGCCUAACCGGGAGCAUGCAGUAGAAACUGGUGUACUAGAGUAUGGAAGAGAGAAGUGGAAUUCUCGGAGUAGCGGUAAAAUGCGUAGAUCUCGAGAGGAACACCGAUGGCGAAGGCAGCUUCUUGGUCCAUUACUGACGCUGAGGCACGAAAGCGUGGGGAGCAAAUAGG
rnacentral:rRNA from 1 species